rnacentral:rRNA from 1 species
CCUACGGGCGGCAGCAGUGGGGAAUAUUGGGCAAUGGGCGCAAGCCUGACCCAGCAACGCCGCGUGAAGGAAGAAGGCUUUCGGGUUGUAAACUUCUUUUGUCAGGGACGAAGCAAGUGACGGUACCUGACGAAUAAGCCACGGCUAACUACGUGCCCGCAGCCGCGGUAAUACGUAGGUGGCAAGCGUUAUCCGGAUUUACUGGUGGUAAAGGGCGUGUAGUCGGGACUGCAAGUCAGAUGUGAAAACCACGGGCUCAACCUGUGGCCUGCAUUUGAAACUGUAGUUCUGGAGUACUGGAGAGGCAGACGGAAUUCCUAGGGUAGCGGUGAAAGGCGUAGAUAUUAGGAGGAACACCAGUGGCGAAGGCGGUCUGCUGGACAGCAACUGACGCUGAGGCGCGAAAGCGUGGGGAGCAAACAGGAUUAGAUACCCCUGUAGUC